rnacentral:lncRNA from 10 species
CAGCCCAGAACAGAAGGCCCAGCAUUCCCGCACUGCAGCUAAGCAUGGCUGCGCGCCAACCAGCUGCAAUAACAGCCGCGUCCCAGCGGGGCCCCUUCCCUGGCCCCGGAGCAACCCCUGCCUGCCUGAUGCUCCUUUCAGAGGAUCGGAGGGUCUGCCCUGAGCCUUUCUGGGCCUGCCUCAGGCUUGUUUUUCUAAAAACCCAAAUAGGAUGGGCCCAGGAGCAAUAAAGGCAAAGUCCCAUUUUAAUGCCUGCAAUUUCUUUCAGGUUUUUUUUUUUUUUUUGUAAAUUUUUGUUUUUAGUGUAAUCCAUUUGUCAAAUGGAAAAGUACAUUUUAAAGGCACCAGAAGACUAGAUGUGUCCUGCUUCGGUUGGAUCUUUCUCCACCGAGACGGAAGCAGGAGUGAGAGGAGAGCAGGUAGGGGUGGUGCUCCGUGGUUAACUGAGGCCGACUACGGCAGAGCUUUCUCCUCUGGGCCAUCUCCCGGUCCACUGCAGGCUCUGUCGCUCACCAGCUUUGUUAAGAGAACAGGAGAGAGAAAGCAUCUCCACACCACGGUGGUCUCAUGGGUGAUCAAAUGAAAGUUCUUUGGACCCUCAGAGAAACACCAACCAUUGAGGUUGAGACCAUUUCCAGAGGAAGAAGCAUGGGGCCAUCAUUUAUUAAAAUUUAUGAAAUGUUUUGCGUAUACUUUUCUUGUAUAAUUCCUACCACUCUGUAAAGUAUUAUAUUUGUUUUAUAGAUGAGUACUGGGACCAGAAAAGGUUCAAUAUCUUACCAUGAUCACCUGGCUAGGAAAUAGCAGGUCAGGGAGUCAAACCAGGCCUCCUCCUUCCUUUACCACUCUGUUAGAGGAGGUAAAGGGGAUUAUCCCCACAUUUAGAGUGGACACAAACAUGCCACAGCCACAUACCUAAUGGUGAACCUCAUAGUGACUUCUG